rnacentral:rRNA from 1 species
UACGGUAGGUGGCAAGCGUUGUCCGGAUUUAUUGGGGUUUAAAGGGUGCGUAGGCGGUCCCAUAAGUCAGUGCUGAAAUAUCCCCGGCUUAACCGGGAGGGUGGCAUUGGAUACUGCGGGACUUGAGUGGAGUUGAAGUGGGCGGAAUUGACGGUGUAGCGGUGAAAUGCGUAGAUAAUCGUAAGGAAGACCAGUGGCGAAGGCGGGUCUCUGGACAGGUUCCUGACGUGAGGCACGAAGGCCAGGGGAGCAAACGGG